UUUUAAAAUGCAUUGGCAUAAGGUCAAAGUUUCUAAUCAUUAAAACAUGUCUAAGUUAGGAAACACAAAUAAAGAAAGUUUUAAAAAGAGGGAGAAAUUUUGUAAUUUAAGAAGUGGGAGAAGAUGAAGAGACUACCCUAGGCAAAAAUUAAAAGUUAAGGGUUGAAAAGAUAUGACCAAUGGGAUGCAAUCCAACAGACAAGAAUGUCAUAUAGAAACCCAUUUUCCUUUAACUUUGACAAGCAAAAAUCAACAUCCAAGCAUUAUGUGAAGAUCAAU
rnacentral:lncRNA from 1 species